rnacentral:rRNA from 1 species
UACGGAGGGUGCAAGCGUUAUCCGGAUUCACUGGGUUUAAAGGGUGCGUAGGUGGGCAGGUAAGUCAGUGGUGAAAUCUCCGGGCUUAACCCGGAAACUGCCGUUGAUACUAUUUGUCUUGAAUGUCGUGGAGGUGAGCGGAAUAUGUCAUGUAGCGGUGAAAUGCUUAGAGAUGACAUAGAACACCGAUUGCGAAGGCAGCUCACUACGCGAAUAUUGACGCUGAGGCACGAAAGCGUGGGGAUCAAACAGG